rnacentral:misc_RNA from 1 species
GUGAAUCAUCGAAUUUUUGAACGCAAAUUGCACUCUUUUCGGAGAGUAUGACUGUUUGAGGGUCAGACUAUAAAAAUUGCAUUCGUUGCUGUUUCGCGGUGGCCUUCGUCGGAAAUUGGGUGACCGUAAAUCCUUUUGAUUUAAGCGAAUUAAAAUUUUGUUUUGGUUGUAUGAACGUUUAUAAGAUAUAUUUCUUUACAGGUUUAAGGUAUCGAUUUUUACUAGACGUGACCAUCAUAUCGGAUGGCGUCCAUAAUCUUUCAUUAAUUGUGAU